GACGGAGGGCGCAAGCGUUGUUCGGAUUCAUUGGGCGUAAAGGGUGCGUAGGUGGCGGGGUAAGUCUGGUGUGAAAUCUCGGGGCUCAACCCCGAAACUGCACUGGAUACUGCCUUGCUCGAGUACUGGAGAGGAGAUUGGAAUUUACGGUGUAGCAGUGAAAUGCGUAGAUAUCGUAAGGAAGACCAGUGGCGAAGGCGAAUCUCUGGACAGUUACUGACACUGAGGCACGAAGGCCAGGGGAGCAAACGGG
rnacentral:rRNA from 1 species